rnacentral:rRNA from 1 species
AUACGGAAGGUCCGGGCGUUAUCCGGAUUUAUUGGGUUUAAAGGGAGCGCGGGCGGAGAUGCAAGCGUGACGUCAAAUUUCGGGGCUCAACCCCGUCUCGCGUCGCGAACUGCGUCCCUUGGUUGCGGGAAGGGGAGGCGGAACUCGUGGUGUAGCGGUGAAAUGCAUAGAUAUCACGAAGAACUCCGAUCGCGAAGGCAGCCUUCCGGCCCGUCAACGACGCUCAUGCUCGAAGGUGCGGGUAUCAAACAGGAUUAGAUACCCUGGUAGUCCGCACAGUAAACGAUGGACACCCGCGGUUUGGCCUGUAUGGCUGAGCCGCCAAGCGAAAGCGUUAAGUGUCCCACCUGGGGAGUA